rnacentral:lncRNA from 1 species
GGUUAGUCUAUCAAAUAGUUGGGUGUUGCAGGAAGCAACCCUUCUGAUUACACAAUGUAGAUACUGCACGUACAAUAUAUAAAUUGAGAAAGGGACACUUCACUGCUUUGGGAUAUUUCGAAAUAAAAAAACAAUCGCCAUUGAUGAUUGCUUGCACUUGUGUCUCCUCUCUUAUAUCGACUAUGAGAUGUAUAUAUCCUCGCUGCAUGAGUACUUUUGCAAUGCCGGGGUGUGAAGAGUACGGAAUUAAUGAAUCAGGGGUUGUUUGUUGUUGAAUUUGAAAUGAAUUUAUAUUUUUCAGAAUCUUUUUAUUUAUAAAUAUUUCAAAAGAAGCCUCUGUAAAUUUGUUUUCUUCAGUAUGGACGAAAUUUGUCACGAAUUAUUGCUUAUAUAUAAUGUAUGCAUGCAGUUUCUUGAUGUCAAAUAUUUAUGAUCAGGAGAUGAGAGAUAAUUACAAUACUAAUUACAUCCACCUCUAACCAAAACCAACAUAACCUUGCUAAUUAACUAACUUCUUCAACACCUAAUUCAGCUAAUCCUGAUUGUUGCCUGUAUCUAUAUAGGUACUGGGUAUGCUGCUAUAUAUACACACACAUAUAAGUUGGUCUCUUGCCCGAGCUGCCCUAUUUUUGGUUUCUGCUGCAAUGUGUGUGUGUGUAUAGCUG